rnacentral:rRNA from 1 species
GUGUCAGCAGCCGCGGUAAUACAGAGGUCUCAAGCGUUGUUCGGAUUCACUGGGCGUAAAGGGUGCGUAGGGGGUUGGGAAAGUCGGAUGUGAAAUCUCACCGCUCAACGGUGAAACGGCAUUCGAUACUGCCUGACUAGAGGAUCGGAGAGGAGAACGGAAUUCUUGGUGUAGCGGUGAAAUGCGUAGAUAUCAAGAGGAACGCCGACGGCGAAAGCAGUUCUCUGGAAGACUCCUGACCCUGAGGCACGAAGGCUAGGGUAGCAAACAGGAUUAGAUACCCUGGUAGUCC